UACGUAGGUGGCAAGCGUUGUCCGGAUUUACUGGGCGUAAAGAGCGCGCAGGCGGUCGUUCAAGUCGCGUGUGAAAGCCCCCGGCUCAACUGGGGAGGGUCACGCGAUACUGAUCGACUCGAAGGCAGGAGAGGGUAGUGGAAUUCCCGGUGUAGUGGUGAAAUGCGUAGAUAUCAGGAGGAACACCGGUGGCGAAGGCGGCGGCCUGGGUUGACACUGACGCUGAGGCGCGAAAGCGUGGGGAGCAAACAGG
rnacentral:rRNA from 1 species